UUACUCUCUUUCUCACACCCACCCACAAGAGUCCUUCAAAAAAAUCUCUCUAGAAAUGUCUCUCUGCCUUCUCUCUAGUUCAUCGAUUAAGAUACUUUUCAACGACUGGGGUUUGGCUUCCCUUCCCACCGUCGGCCCGAUCAGUAUCUAUAAUUUCAGAUUUGGAGGAUCAAUUGAGGUGUUUUGGCGGUGGCUUAUUUGUGUGGUGCGGUUCUCCGCUCCAUCUCUGCUUCAAAUUCUAGGUUGCUAGUGGUGGAUCUAUAGAGUAUCGAUUCCUUCCUGCUGUUGGGCCUUGAUCUCUAUUCCGCAGGUGCUUUCCUCGGUCGUUUCUGGUGGUCCCAUUGAAUUUGGUUGGUUGCUCUUCCUUGAUCUAGUUAGCAAUGGAAUAUAUAUGUUGGUGGUUGGUUUAUCUUGUUGUUUGAGUUGGUUUCUCUGGCUUGAUUUCAAGGAAGAAGGGUUUCAGCUCUUUUUAGCAUUGUGUCGUGGGUGGUUGAAGUUUAAUGGUGUGUCAUUUCUUUUCCCUGGUGUUGGUUCUCCGCUGUCUACCUCGUGGCUCCUGGUGUGUCUCUAGAGCAGUAUAGUGAGGUGCAGUCUCUGUUCUUCCCCAAAUAAAGUUUGGCUUUCAAUGUCUCUCUCUCCAUUCCUCCCUCUCCGACGGUUUCAUUUGCUAGGGUUUUAUGGCUUUGAUUUUGACAUGGUUCUAUAACUUGUUCUAGUCAUUUAUUUUAUGUUCUGUUUUUUGGUAUCAGAGAAUAUGUUGAUUUUGUUGACUUUUGUUUCUAGAAGAAGUUGUUUGUUUUUGUCAGUUUUAGGCUCUGAGAGUAUAUAUUAUGCGUUAGAUUAGUAUCUCAAAAUGUAUUCUUUCUGAUGUAUUUUUCUAAGUUCAAUGAAAAUUCUAGUG